AUGGCGCAGCAAGAUCAAGACGUCAUCAUGUACUACCGCAAUGGCCUCCUCCUGGCCGCCGCACUGCUAGUCCCUCUCCUCCUCCUCGUGAGGCUCAGGCGGCCGCGCGGGGAGAACCUUCCCCCGGGGCCAUGGCGGCUGCCGGUCAUCGGCAGCCUGCACCACCUGGUCGGCAGGCUGCCGCACCGCUUCAUGCGCGACCUCGCCCGCCGGUACGACGCCCCGCUCAUACUGCUCCGCCUGGGGGAGCUCGACGUCGUCGUGGCCUCCUCCGCCGACGCGGCGAGGGAGGUCCUCAAGACCCAGGACGCGGUCUUCGCCACCCGCAUGCAGACCCCCACCAUCCGCGCGCUCACGGUGGACGGCGCCGGCAUCGCCCUGGCGCCGCACGGAGAGCACUGGCGGCAGGCCCGCAAGCUCGGCGUCACCGAGCUCCUCGGCGCACGGCCGGUCCAGUCCCUCCGCGGGUCCCGCGAGGCCGGCGUUGCCGCCCUCGUCGCCUCCAUCGCCUCGGCGUCGGCGGCGUCAGGGCCUGUGAACGUCAGCUCCCUCCUUUCCACCUACAUCAUCGACGUGGCGGUGCGCGCCCUGGUGGGCGACCGGAUCGGGGGCGACCUCCGCGGCGAAUUCCUGGAGCGCCUCGGCGAGGGCGUCAGGCUGGCCACCGGAUUCGGCCUCGCCGACCUGUUCCCGUCGUCGCGCCUCGUGCGUGCCUUCAGUGGCUCGCUAGGCCGGCUGGAGGCGCUAGGCCGCGAGACGAGCCGGGUCAUGGACCGCAUCAUCGACAAGCACCAGCACGCCGGCGACGAGGAAAAAGACUUCGUCGACGUGAUGCUCAGGAUCCAGAAGAAUGACGGCAGCCUCCGUGCUGGAACCAUCCGUGCCAUGAUCACCGACCUGUUCGGGGCAGCGAGCGACACCUCGGCGACGACGCUCGAGUGGGCGAUGGCCGAGCUCAUGGGGAGCCCGGCGGCGCUUCGGAGGGCGCAGGCGGAGGUGCGAUCCGCCCUGGCCGGGGAGAGCCGCGUCCGAGAGGAGGCCCUGCCGGACCUGCACUACCUGCGUCUCGUGCUCAAGGAGACGCUCCGGCUGCACCCGGCGGCGCCGCUGCUGCUCCCGCGGGAGUGCCCCGAGUCCCGACAUGUCCUCGGCUACACCGUGCCCAAGGGCGCCAUGGUGCUCGUCAACGCGUGGGCCAUCGGCCGGGACGCGGCGACCUGGGGCGCCGACGCCGAGGAGUUCAGGCCGGAGAGGUUCGAAGAGGAGGCGGCGCUGGACUUCAAGGGAACCAACUUCAAGUUCGUGCCGUUCGGCGCCGGCCGGAGGAUGUGCCCUGGGAUCGCCUUUGGCCUUGCGGUCGUGGAGCUCGCACUGGCCAGCUUCCUCUUCCAUUUCGACUGGGAGCUCCCCGCCGGUGGGCUGCACAUGGAGGAGCAGCUCGGGGUCACGGCCAGGAGGAAGGGCGACCUCUGGCUGCAUGCCACAGUUCGGGUGCCUGUGCCUGCACUUGCUCUAUAG
rnacentral:rRNA from 1 species